rnacentral:rRNA from 1 species
GUCCACGCCCUAACGAUGUCAACUAGUUGUUGGUAGAGUAAAUCUAUGAGUAACGCAGCUAACGCGUGAAGUUGACCGCCUGGGGAGUACGAUCGCAAGAUUAAACUCAAAUGAAUUGACGGGGCCCGCACAAGCGGUGGAUUAUGUGGAUUAAUUCGAUGCAACGCGAAAACCUUAACCUGGCCUUGACAUGUACCGAAUUUACCAGAGAUGGUUUAGUGCUCGAAAGAGAACGGUAACACAGGUGCUGCAUGGCUGUCGU